rnacentral:rRNA from 1 species
UACGUAGGGGGCAAGCGUUGUCCGGAUUUAUUGGGCGUAAAGCGCGUGUAGGUGGCCAUGUAGGUCCGCUGUGAAAACUUGAGGCUCAACCUCAAGCUGUCGGUGGAAACCACCUGGCUAGAGUCCGGAAGAGGAGAGUGGAAUUCCUGGUGUAGCGGUGAAAUGCGCAGAUAUCAGGAAGAACACCAAUGGCGAAGGCAGCUCUCUGGGACGGUACUGACACUGAGACGCGAAAGCGUGGGGAGCGAACAGG